AGGAAAUACUGGCGAUUAGGGGAUUGCAUUGCCUCCAAUAAAACAAAACAAAACAAAACAAAACAAAACAAAACAAAACAAAAAACAAGUGCUAAUCCACAUCACAUAAAGCCAAACUGAGUGGGGCUAUCUUGUCUAAUUUGCAACGAACUGGGGUCAACUAGAUUUUUAUCUCAAAUACAAACUGGGAAGGAGAAAACAACAAGAAAGGAAACGCCACAACUUGGUUAGAUCCUGCUUUUCACACAAGAUUAUAUGACCGAUAGCUACACAGGAUGCUUCCAGAAGAUUACAAGGCCAAAAAUAAGCAAGGAAAUAUGGCUGGCCCAAUGUUCACAUUUAUUUAUAAAAGAAUAGCGCUAUCGGAUACACAGCUGCAGUACACCAAUAGAAAUCUUACAACUGCAUCCAUAUUUUCCAUUUAAAUUUAGAAAAUAAGAUGCUGUAAUUCUUGAAUUAUUGUCAGGAUAAAUGUUUGAUCAGAAACCACCUGAAUACUACGUAGCUUUUAUUCAUUCAACAGUUUCUUGAAUGGCCUACCACAGGCAAAUUGAAGUAUAAAGAUACCGUCCCUGCCUUCAAUUAGCUUAUAUUCUAUUUGGGGAAAAAUCCAUAUAUGUGAAAUAUUUGGUAACAUUUCAGUACAAAACGAAGAAAAGGCAGCAGAUAAUUAACAAAUGAAUCACAGGAAAUAUAAGUGCUAUAAGAAUUCUGUAGGGGAAAAAAUGGUCUCUGAGGGCUGACAAUAUGCUUCGGGGCACAGGUGUUUGAAUUAGAAAAAAGAUGCGUUCUGUCACUUACUGUAAUUCCACAAAGUAACAUGCUUAACUUCGAGCCUCAAUUUCAUCAUCAAUAAAAUGGGAAUGAUGAUAGUAUCUGCCCCAUAGGAUUAUUAUAAGUAAUUGACACAUUGUAUGUGAAAAGAUUUUGUAAUCUUUAAAGAAGCCAUAAAUGGCCCUUGAGGAACGUGGUAAAAGAAUCACCCAAAACUGUUACCAUUAAUUUGGGAGAGCAGAAAUGUUAGGAGGUUGGAAGGGAACAUGAUUAACUUUUUCUUUACAUACUUUCUAUUGAUUGAACUUUUAUAGUGCCCGUGGCACUAAUUUUGUAACACAAAAAUUAAAGCUAUAUAAAUACUACCUGAAGUAGAGAGUAUAAAUACUAUCUGUGACACCAUAUCUGGAUGUCACAAAAUACUCUAUUGUAAACACUAGUAACCCUGUUCCUCUGUAAGUACACAGAAACAAAACAAGUCCCGGUUUCAAUUUGAGAAUUUCUAAAGUCAUAAAAAUUUGCCAAGCUUGGGAAUGAUAACCAACUGAAAUAGUGUUUCCUUUCAUGACAUUUUAAGAUAGAACAAAUUUUAUAGUCACCCCAAACUAUCCACUGAUUCAAACAAUCACUUUGGUCCAUGUGCUUUGAAAUAGCAAGUUAAAUAACAUUAAUUCUCAAAGGCGAGUCUUUGUUGUGCGUAACUGUGCUUUCUAGAGCCCAUCACAUUUCAGGUAUUUAACUGAUAACUUCACAGACAUAGAAAAAGUCCUCAGGCCAUUUCCAAAUGAAUACCAACAGACUCUCCACAAAGGCAUGAAAGAUUUUUUUUUUAGAUUGAGUUUGAUAAUAGAUUAGCAUUCUUUUUUUUUUUUUUUUUUUUUCUGGAAAGGGACAGAUUAGCAUUCUUAAUACUGUAAGUAAGUGUGAGCUCUUUGAGGGCAGGAAUCAUAUCUUCUUAACCCUUAUAUGCCCAGUCCCUGGCAUUGUGACCAGCAUAUGAGUCGGCAAUAAUAUAUAUUUGUUGAGCUAUUUGAAGGAAAGAGAACUCUAAAGCGUGUUAGUCAACUGGAAGCCCAAUGAGGCAGGUACAUGUGCGAAGAAGGGCAAGACCUGUACAGUUGUAUUCCACAAGCGGUCAUUUAAAAUGCUUCAAAAGCUGUAAAGACAAUUAUAAAUUUGAGUUCCUUGAGUAAAACUUCAUAAAAUCCCCUAUUCAAGAGAGGAUCUCUCUUAUAUUUGAGAAACUAUAGAUGUGAGAACUAAGAUGAAAUCAUGGAGCAGAACCACCUUUCCUCCGCCUUACCUAAAAUUUCCAAGGCGUGUGUCAUCGAUAUAAAUAGAAGAAGGCAGAGGAAAGGCUUUCACUAUUUGUGGCAGAAACAAACCCACACCUGGAAUGCUGGAUUCCUGGCUGACUAUUGUCCCAUUGGCUCAUGACUCCUCUAUGAUGACUUGUGAACAAACAUAUGGACACUGAACAAUGACAGAGUUGGCAUCCACAUGUAAUGAGACUAUUAGGUUGCAUGAAGUCACGCUUGCCUAUUUCCAGUAUUCUACAAGCAGUGACGGGGGGGAAAGGAGUUGAGGCAUCCUGGACUUGCUCAAACACUACAGGAGAGGCCCUGGAGACACCAGUUUGGAAGUACAAGAACAGGGAUAGGAAGCAAUCCCUCUGAUUUCCACUGAUAGUUUAAAUCCCUCUGUGAAUGAUGUACCCAAUGCUAAUCUCUCUGUUCCAUCCUAACCUGCUGGAUAAUUCCAUUUUAUCUUAUUUAAUCUUCCUCCCCAGGUGACCAGGGCUUGUCAUAACUGUAGAUCCCAUUAAUGGUAUGUUAGUUCACGAGAAGACAUUUCACGAUAAGUGAAGGCUUUAAGGCAGUUCUCUCUCACUUGAAGCUUCUUAAAAUAUUUACCGCAAUCUAUUUAAAAAAGAGGUAGAGUUUUCUGCCUCUAAAAAGUAUUGCAUAAGUCGAGUAGAAAUGAAUUGCUUUAGUAGUAAUUCUUUAAAGAUUACUAAGUUUCAUAGUUUGGCUACUCAAAUUAUAUUUGGAAGCUACCUAGGAAUUUUCUCACAUUUUGAUCUCUGGAAGGGCAAUUAAUCAAGCUCUUGUUUGAAGUAACUCAAACUUUAAUCAGAAUUCUAUGGAGGGAAAGUCACAGGGCUAUAUACCCGGAAUAUUCAACAGUAUAUAUAAUUGAAAACAGCAACAACAGGAAAAGAGAAGUAAAUGCCAGUGGGCUGAUACGUUAUAACCUUUGGUCAAGCGGUACUUGGCAAAUUUCAACAGACUUAGUUAACCAGAGAUAAAACUGAGCAAUAGCAUACCAUUAAAACAAAAGUAUUAACACAGAAUCAAGAAUUCCCAGUGAAAAAGAAUGCUGGACCUAAGAGGAUGGAUCUACCAGAGGCAAUUUGUUAGGAGACUGAGGCUGUUAUUUCAUAGCGGAGGUUUGAAAUCAAAACUUUAAAGUUUCUUUAGGUCGGACUAUAUAGCACGGCAUUCCGAGAGCCAGCCAAAAUCGCUGAGGGAAACGAGGAAGGCCACAUGUGGAACUAAUUACUCAUGUAGAGGCCAUGACAAAGAACAUUUCUCCAGACUUUUCAUGGGGGCUUCACUUUCAGGAAGUUGCUAUAAUUACUGUUCAAGUCUAGAGCAGCCUGCAAGCCGCUGACAGAUCCAACAGACGAGGAGGAGGAGGGAAAGAGAGAGAGAGAGAAAAAAAAUGAACUUAUCUGCCCUUUUUGACGAGUGAAAUACCAGAAAAUAAAGUGCCACAGGGCAGCUCAAAAAAGUUUGCAAAUGAGCCCUCCCUUCCAGUGCUCAACUUUCUGUUUACUUUUUUUUUUUUUUUUUUUUAUCUACCCUCUAUCUUCAAAUUACUUUUCUAGUCUGGAUCGGACAGCAGAUUUGUACUUCUCCACUAGCUCACUUUCAGUUGGCCACAGCAGAACUGUACAUCUCGACUCUUUUUUUACAGCUUUUCCAUACUGAGGCCCACUUCCUGCCCAGUUGAGGAAAAAAAUCUGGCCUGAAGAUGAAAUGACUGCUUAACAUUACACUAAAACAUCUGGUACCAUUUUAUGCACAGACCCAUGUCUGAGAGCAGGCGAUUCUAGCGGUCUCUCCAGCGGCACCGCGCAUACCCAAACCUCCCCAGGGUGACAUCAUCCCAUAUAUGGACUCUCCAGCCCAGCCCUCCCCCUUUUCCUGGUCCUAAAUUCAUUGCCAGUUCCCCAGUCUGCAGCAAAUGUGCCACGUCAAGACUGGAAAUCACAGCCCUUGAGUGUGUCUCAGUCAGUGCAGCAGAAUUCAGGGGGGAUAGCCGAAUGCAACCCCUGGUGCAGGAAGGGAGGCUUUUCCCAAAGACCGGGACAGGAUUUUAAGUACACAGAUGGAAGCUUCUGGAGAUCCUGCUCCGUCGCCCCAGUGUUCAGACUACCUGUUCAGGACAAUGCCGUUGUACAGUAGUCUGCACAUUGGUUAGACUGGGCAGGGGAGCGCAACGCCACGGACGGCUGGGGACAGAAGUUGCUGUUUCCAAGGAGAAGACUUCUGUUUGCUUUUUCAAAUCUCAUACCCAGUGUUUUUCUUCACAGGUUUUGCACACUAGGGACCAAGAAGCCCUCGGGGACACCGCUGAGAAAGGACUGUUGGAAAGAAGACCUGUGGGUAAGGCCUCCUUGACUGCUCACCUGGUCUGUGCCCAGGAGAGGCAAGGUGGGGAGCCAAUGAUUUGCGUUCACGUGCGAGAGAAACAGAGGUAUAUGUGUCAUGCGAAGCAAUGCAUUUAGUUUUGAAAGAGUAACAAUAUGUGGUAUAUAGCGAUUUACUGUAUGUUAGUUGAUUUCUGAAGAUCUAGAAGUCAAGUAUAUUUUUAAGUUUAAAGUUUUUCCUCCUUUAAAAUGAAAUAUGAAAAGACUCCAGACACUUAAGAAUAACUUAAUGAGGCUAGUUUUUAAUUGUUGAAAUUAAUAAUACAAAGACCUAAAAACUUACUUGAAUAAGGGCUGUAGUAGAACUUUUAACCUCCCCGGGACUGAAUCCAUUUUGCUUCCAAGUAAAGAAUAUUGGCUAUUUUUACAAUGCUAUCUGAAGAGUGCUUUUUUUUGAAAAUUUACGUACAUGAUAAUAUCUAACAAUAAAAGAAGAGGCUGCCAAGUUCUUGCCCACCAGACAAUACAAAUGGGACUGACCCAGAAAAGAGCGCCAACCCAGAACCUAGUGAGUCAGCAACUGAUUAAGUCACAGAAUAGAAGAAACCUCUGUCUUCAGAUAUCCCAAUAUACAUCUGUGUCACAUUUUUUUUUAAAUCAAAAAAUGGUUGAUAAUUGCUGGUCAGCUGAGACCUCAUGCCUAUAUUUUACAAUGCUUCUAUUUCUCUGAGCAUUUAAAAUGAUAAGGUACUUUGUCUAGAAACCCACUGAUAAAAAAGGAAUUUGUAAACGAAGGCAAAGUUUUCUUUGGUCAGUUUCCAGCUGUCCUGGAGGUGAAGGGGGAUGGGUGGGGAAGGUGGGAGGGAGGAAAACCCUUAAGCUGAAUGAAAUCCCAAUAGAGAGAAUAAUAGAGAAAGUCUGGGUUGCAAUAUGAUCCUUGAUGAACUUUAAAGGUGGGUCUCUUAAAGAAAGUUCUGGAAAAAUGUUACUGCCUCACCCCUAAUUCCCUCAACCCCCAUUUAUAUCUACUCCCAAACAAUUCUAUAUAAUGAAAACAUCUGUUCUAUAGUUUUUUAUGAAAAAGUGGAUGUGAUCCCUUUUUGUCCUCCUUUAAAUUUUUUAAAAUUACAGUGAUUUCUGAACAAAUCCUUUUCUAAAUUACACAUUUUGCAACAAUUCAAAAUUAUCACAAGUUCUCUUUUGCGACCCAUUUUAUUAAACAAGGUUCCCCAAGUUAUCUUUCGUCAAAACAAUCUGCUUUUUUAAAUGACCCUUUUGAUCAUCCUCAAACUGGCAUAAAGAACAUAUAACCUUUUAUUCAUGUUUUUUAGUUAAAAUAUAAAAAGUAUGGAUAAAUUUAGUUAUCUUCUCCACUUAGAUGAUAUAGUAAAGUCUUCCUUUGUUUUUUCUAUUGUGACUUAGAGGCUUCCAUAUUAAUUAUUUUUAAUAGAACAAGAGAUAUUUAAAAUCUAUAUAGUUUCUUUUACAUAAGAAAACAAACAAAAAAAAAACCUAUUAGGUAAAUACAGAAGCUUAUUUUCUCCGAUAUAUAUUUUUACUAACUGAAGCAGUUACUAAAGAAGAAAGAUAGCUAUAACGGGCUUUUUUUGGUUUUUGGUUUUCGUUUUUUUACUCUGUAGAAAUGACAGAAUUUCAUAACUUGCCUUCAUUCACGUAUAUUCAAUUUAAAUGUCUGUCUUCAUAAUAAAUCGCCUUUUUGUUUCUAAGAAACCAACCACAAUUGGUCGCCCACCAAAUUUCUCCCUAGGAUGACUUUUAGUCUGGAGACAGAGAGGACUCGAUUGUGUCCUUGGCAUAAAUACAGGAAUAGGAACAUAAGAAUUAAUUUGUAAGGGGGUAGCCGAGGAGUGCCUGCAAGUGCUUGGUGGAGUCCUGAGGACCCAUUUUUGAUGCAAGCUUUAAACAAAUGAAAAGGAAUCACACUUACUUUUAAAUUGCAUGAGCUAAAUUAAAGAUCCAAAGUAAAAGCUCACUUUAUAAACUCCUGCUGACUGAAGGCAAGGAUGGUAGUUUAAGCAGUUGUAUAUAUACCAGCACGUAUACACACAUAUCAUAAAAUAACCGUGUCUAUUUCCAGGGUAAUUAGAACAAUGUUUAACUUUAUUUUGAUAUUACUUUAUAAGGAGAUAUACAAAUAUUUUAGAGGUCAUGGGAUCUAUUCCAGAGGAAACUAACCAACAGUGACAUCUUCAAGUAAAACUACCCCUGGAUAUGAUGGUUGCAUGCAUCAUUCCUUUAAUUGAGCAGAGUUAACUGGAUCAAAUUAUUUAUGGGAGAGAGAGGGAAAGCUAUACAGAAUUACAGUAAUUUUUAAUUUCCACCAAUAUAUUCUUUGUAAGUGAAUCACUCUAAAUAUUUUGUUACACUGAAUGAAGCAACUAAACAAAAUAGUUUCUUAAGGUAUUUGUUUUUGCAUACUCUGACCUUGUAAUUAUCUAAAUAGCAGCCAAGUUUACUGACAUUUUUGAUUCCAUCAGAAAAAAAAAAUUCUCUACUCAGAAUGAUGACCAGAAACAGAAUCAGACAUUUAUUUUCUUGAAAUCAAAUAAAUGGAAAUUUUCACUUAUCAACUAAUUGUACCAUAUCUAAUUAAUGCAUAAAAGUUCAGAUGUGUAGAAACUGUGAUUUCUUUAAGUCUCUACAAACAUUUUCCUCUCCAUAAAGCUUCUACUUGCUAUUUUCUCAUAAUUUUAUCAUUAAAGGGAAAUAACAAACUAUGUGUUUUCUUUAAAAUUCUUUGAAAAAACUCCAAGGCACAUACUCCUUGACAAUAAGGCUUUGUUUUGUUUUUGAAGAAAUCCCACUUACUGGAAUUUUGACUAUCUAAAUAUUUUGGUUUUUAAAGGGCAGGGGAACUUGUUAAAUACCUCUAUGAAUGUGAAUUGAUCAUUUAUAUUAAAAUAGCCAGAAUUAUUCUUGAGUCAUCAGAAUUACAUUUCUCUGUUUAACACCAUUAACUCUUUCUUACACAAAGUACAAGAAAAUUUUCCAAAGGGUUUGGUUCUACUUUUUGGAUAUGAAAUGAAGUUUCCUUUUCUGUGUUUAAGGUAUUAUUUUGUAACUGUAUGGUACCAUCAAUGUCCACAACACAUUCUGAGCACCACUGUGUGUAACAACUUUUAGUUUAUACCCUUUUGAUUCAUGGCAUGGCGCUGUAGUUAAUUAGGAGAAGCACAUAAGCUCACAAUGGCUUUUUAUCUGGUUUUCACAUCCAUACUUAAAAACUUUACAUUAAAAAGAAUAUGAUAAAUUUAAAUAAGUUCCUGUUGCUUUAUGGAGUAUUGGCAAAAAUACAUUCCCAUGUAAAAUCCCACUCUCAAAGCAUCAGAUACCAAAGUUGGCUGGUUGAACUGCCAGAUACAUUAGGCUCAUAAAUUAUUUUGAAAAUGGCUGCCGUUUCCAUGUAAAUGACAAGUUUCUUUUUCAUGGGCUAUGGUACUUAUCUACUACAAGAAACAUGUAUAAACAUAGUCUUUAUCUUUAACUUCAGUAUUAAAAUAUGCAGAGUUUUUGUGAAGAGGAAAAACAUCUGGUUCAAUUACUCUGAACUCUGACUGCAUGUGGGCCAGUAAUAAUAAUAUGAAUUGGAUUUAAGAAUAAACCUUAUAUUUAAUCUUUUGUUUUGUUUUUCCUUAAAAUUUUGAUGUGAGUUUUCUGUCACGUCAAUUAUCCAUGUUAGCACACUUGGAACAAAUGUAAAAAUGUACAUUCUGAAUAAAGUCAAAAGUCUAACUUGUUUUAGUUCCAUAAUGUUUUAAUGUUUAAUUCUAUUGUGUGUUUCUCUCCCUUUCCCCUGACCCUCCAAAAUCACCAAAUCUGGAAAACAGACUGAUUGUAUCUGCCCAUGAGCAAAGGAAGCCCGAAGGAACCAAGGGCCUGGCUGGACGGAGUUGUCAUGUGACUGCCUGUCUACACUUGCUGUGCAGAACAUCCGCUCACCUGUACAGCAGGCACAGACAGGCAGUCACACGACAACCCAGCCUGAAUGACAACCAGCCAUUGAAAGAAAGCAGCCCUCACACCAUAGCAUCUACACCAAGAACUACAACCAAAAUGAGGGGCGCGGGGGCCUGGGGUUUUAAUCUGUUGGUUUAAUACUUAAUUCGUAUGUAUUAUUAUUAUUAUUAUAUUUUGAUUCGAAUAUUGAAACCCACCAAAAGUAAAGUGAGUGGUGCCUAUGAAAUAUAAUAAAACCCAUUUUUGAAAAUGUU